rnacentral:tRNA from 1 species
GGAAGAGUGGCCGAGAGGUCGAAGGCGGCUGACUCGAAAUCAGCUGUGGGCCCUGCCCACCGGGGGUUCGAAUCCCUCCUCUUCCGCCA